CAACCAGGGUAAAAGCUUCCUGUAGCCAAUGCGGGGGAAAACCACCACAGAGGAGGGCAUCACAGAUCAGAGUGUGUAGCUAGCAUGACAGCCAGCAAAACCCAGGACCGACUGCACACCGGCAGCUGAGAGCCAAGCUUGACUUACCACCUGACAUUAUGGAGGAUUUGUUCGGACCAGAAGCAGUCAAGAGCGUCAGAAGGAAAUCUCCUACAAAGAAACACAGAAAGCACAUGUCACGGUUUGUUUCUACAACAUUUGACCUCAUGGAUCUUCAUUUCUUCCUAAUACCAGCCCUAUAAACACAUAGACAUCAUAUACGUAGACGCCUCAUUUACUGUGCUCGCCUGCUGCCGCUAUACGUCAACGUGUCCGCCAUAUUGCCAAAGGCAAGACCGUUCCAUAAACACAUGCAAGUAUAUAUUUUUUUAAUUAAAUGAUUCAAAAUGACUAUCAGAGAGCCAAAAAUGUAGAUAAUUCAAGUAUUAAUAUACUGCAACUGGAGGUGCGUCUGUGUUUCUUACUUUUAGAACUUGAAUGACACAUACAUGCCCAUAGAAAAUUGUAGUAAAUUGUAAUAUUCACAAUAGCAUGCCAUGGUUAAGUUACUAUACAGUAUAUAUAUAAAAAAUCUGUCAUCCUUCUCUCCUGGAAACAAAAUAACCAGCAAAACGUUAAAAAGCUAGCUUAAAGGGCUACUUCAACAUUUUGGCAAAUUCGCCCAUUGCCAUAAUUCCUAUAGUUUU